rnacentral:rRNA from 1 species
GAUGAACGCUGGCGGCGUGCCUAAUACAUGCAAGUCGAGCGAACGGACGAGAAGCUUGCUUCUCUGAUGUUAGCGGCGGACGGGUGAGUAACACGUGGAUAACCUACCUAUGAGACUGGGAUAACUUCGGGAAACCGGAGCUAAUACCGGAUAAUAUUUUGAACCGCAUGGUUCAAAAGUGAAAGACGGUCUUGCUGUCACUUAUAGAUGGAUCCGCGCUGCAUUAGCUAGUUGGUAAGGUAACGGCUUACCAAGGCAACGAUGCAUAGCCGACCUGAGAGGGUGAUCGGCCACACUGGAACUGAGACACGGUCCAGACUCCUACGGGAGGCAGCAGUAGGGAAUCUUCCGCAAUGGGCGAAAGCCUGACGGAGCAACGCCGCGUGAGUGAUGAAGGUCUUCGGAUCGUAAAACUCUGUUAUUAGGGAAGAACAUAUGUGUAAGUAACUGUGCACAUCUUGACGGUACCUAAUCAGAAAGCCACGGCUAACUACGUGCCAGCAGCCGCGGUAAUACGUAGGUGGCAAGCGUUAUCCGGAAUUAUUGGGCGUAAAGCGCGCGUAGGCGGUUUUUUAAGUCUGAUGUGAAAGCCCACGGCUCAACCGUGGAGGGUCAUUGGAAACUGGAAAACUUGAGUGCAGAAGAGGAAAGUGGAAUUCCAUGUGUAGCGGUGAAAUGCGCAGAGAUAUGGAGGAACACCAGUGGCGAAGGCGACUUUCUGGUCUGUAACUGACGCUGAUGUGCGAAAGCGUGGGGAUCAAACAGGAUUAGAUACCCUGGUAGUCCACGCCGUAAACGAUGAGUGCUAAGUGUUAGGGGGUUUCCGCCCCUUAGUGCUGCAGCUAACGCAUUAAGCACUCCGCCUGGGGAGUACGACCGCAAGGUUGAAACUCAAAGGAAUUGACGGGGACCCGCACAAGCGGUGGAGCAUGUGGUUUAAUUCGAAGCAACGCGAAGAACCUUACCAAAUCUUGACAUCCUUUGACAACUCUAGAGAUAGAGCUUUCCCCUUCGGGGGACAAAGUGACAGGUGGUGCAUGGUUGUCGUCAGCUCGUGUCGUGAGAUGUUGGGUUAAGUCCCGCAACGAGCGCAACCCUUAAGCUUAGUUGCCAUCAUUAAGUUGGGCACUCUAAGUUGACUGCCGGUGACAAACCGGAGGAAGGUGGGGAUGACGUCAAAUCAUCAUGCCCCUUAUGAUUUGGGCUACACACGUGCUACAAUGGACAAUACAAAGGGCAGCGAAACCGCGAGGUCAAGCAAAUCCCAUAAAGUUGUUCUCAGUUCGGAUUGUAGUCUGCAACUCGACUACAUGAAGCUGGAAUCGCUAGUAAUCGUAGAUCAGCAUGCUACGGUGAAUACGUUCCCGGGUCU